rnacentral:lncRNA from 13 species
AGGCUGAGGCAGCAAGUUGUGCAGCGUCAUUUAAACAUCCCCCUCCUCUUCACCCAAAUGUUGAGAAACAUUUGCAACCGAUCUUCGACAAUCUUUCGAAUGACAGUCUUUUAGGCGGUUACACACAGAAUGCAAAUGAAAGUUUCAAUUCUACCGUUUGGCGUUUAUCGCCUAAACACAUUCACACUAGAGCAAAAAUCGUCUGUAUUGCUGCGUAUAUUGCUGCAUCGAUAUUUAACGAAGGCUACAAUGCAGUGUUAAUAAUAAUGAACAAAUUGGAUAUCAAAAUUGGGAUCCAGGCACACAAUUUUGCCAUAACAAAGGACGAGAAGCGAAUAAACAGACAAAACCGCCAAAGCUAUAGCAGCUCAAAAGAGGCAAGAACGGCUCGUAGGAUGGAGAUGAUGGCUCAAAACAAUUUCUACGAAGAAGCGGAGAGGCUACUUUAUGCAGCUGGAAUCGCUGAUUAGCGUGAGACUGCCAUCAAAAUUAAGGACGCUGCAGUGUACACAGCGGAGACGCUCCAUAAGCAAAGCAAUAUUAAUAUGGCAUCCGUUUUUAUAGUAGACAUCUUUCUUUUUAUUGAAAAAUUUCUGUGUACUCUUCGAUUAUGUAUUAAAUUGUCAUUAAAAUUUCAAAA